rfam:Sphaerulina musiva SO2202 unplaced genomic scaffold SEPMTscaffold_11, whole genome shotgun sequence.
GGGCUUGUAGCACAGUGGUAGCGCGCACGCUUUGCACCGGACAGGGGUUUCUCCUUAGUCCAAUUUGUAUGCGUGAGGUCUUGGGUUCGAUCCCCAACUGGUCCA